AUGUUGAAGGACGAGGACGGCGUGGAUGUAGCGUUCGUCGUGGGUGACAAAUUGUUCCGUGCUCAUCGACACAUUCUGGCGGCACGGUCGCCGGCCUUCAAGGUAGAGCUUUUGGACCCGAUGACAAAGGAGGACCCUACAAAACCCGUCAAUGUUCAUGACAUGACGUCCGACAUCUUCGAGGCACUUCUUCAUUUCAUGUACACUGAUACACUCCCACAUGGUAGCGAUCUUGAGAAAACCGGGAUAUUGUGGCGUUUGUUGGCAGUUGGAGAUCGAUAUGGACUGGACAAGCUGGUGACGAUUUGCGAAGGGAAGCUAUGCCAAAACAUAAACGAGCAAACUUUCGCGACCACCCUAACUUUAGCAGAGCAGCAUGAUCACGUGCGACUGAAAAAUGCUUGCAUCACAUUUGUGUCAUCGCAGGAUGUGCUCGACGUCGUCAAGGAAACCGAUGGAUUCAAGAACCUCAUGAGAAGCUGUCCGUGGGCCCUGGUGGAUAUCUUAAAACAGAAGCUGUCUUCACCGGGGGUCGCACGGAGCCAGCCGGAUAGGACACCCAGAUCACGCAAUAAGAAGCGGUGGGCCUCGCGAGUUCGCCGUGCAGUUUUGCCCUCCGUCUGCGUCCUGGCGCUGACCCCCUUUGCUGGCCUCUAUUUUUACAUGCACAACGGCCGCUGUUUUACAAAGGAUGGGACCGAGGCAAUCCGUGCUUGGCUCCUCGGGCUCCGCUCGUACGAUCUUGUACUAAAUUUGUACUUGCUCAGCUCCGAUGUAUGA
rnacentral:rRNA from 1 species